rnacentral:lncRNA from 1 species
AUUUUUCCCUAUUUUCUCUUCUCCUUUUCCCUCAUUUUCUUCCUCUUUCUUCUCUUCUUCUCUCUACCAGACUCGCCGCUGCCGCCGCUCUUCUGCCGCCAAAAAUUGCACACCGGUAGCGGUCUUCAUCCAAACCACCCCAAAAUCUCACCAUACAAUCCCCUCAACAUCUUCUUUCCAAAUCUCCAACCCAAAUCCCUCAAAACUCGCUCAAAAUCCCUGAAUUUUAGAUUUAGGAAACCCUAGCCGCCAUUUUUUUUGCCCAAAUUCUAGAAGCUCCGGUCACCACUACCCUACAACACAUACAUGAAUGGAUAGAGCUCCACGAUACCUACACUUCCCCCAUAAUUUCACCCAUAAAUGCUGCCAUCCACCGUCGUCGGCCGCCUUACUACCGCCGUCGCUCCACCACCAAUCGGUGGCCUCAACUCCUAUAAAAUUUAUACCAUCAUCCUCCUUUUUUCCUCGUAUUUUCUAAAUAUAUAACCCAAAACCACCAUUGUCGUAGCACCCAGCCACCGCGUCUCCAUUUCAGUCCACUUCUUGACUCAAAGACGCCCGUUUCGUUUUCACAAGAAGCCGAAAAUCAUUUGUUUUAGCGUCUGCCCGAAAGAAACGCGCAUUUUCGGGUCGAACAGCCGCUACUUGAAGGUUCUGGUAUCGUUUCGUCACUCGAUUCGGCCUCGAAUGUCCCUAGAAUUGGGUAAACUCAACCCUUAAUCUUUUCCCCAUGUUUCUUUUUUAUUGUUCUUGUUGUUUCCUACUGUUUGAUUUUAGUUUUUAUUAUAGUAUAAAUUUUUUUGUUAUUUUGUUUAUGUUCGUAGUCAUUUUGUGUAAUCAUUUGUUUAUUAGUUUGAUUAACAAUUAUUUGUCUCUUGGUUAUUAGGGCUAUUUAAAAGUUAUAUUGAGUUUCUGUUUAUUCAAGUAUGUUGUUUAGUCAUAGUUGUUAUAAUGAAACAAUUAGUUGGUAUGUGAUAUGUUAAGCUGAUGGUUUCAAUUAGUUAGUCUUGAUAAUAUACUUGUUUUUGUUUGAUUUUUAGUUAUUAGAUUCUGAGUUUCUCUUAGUUGAUUUAUAGUUCAUAUUUCUAAGUCUAGUGAUGUGCUUUUAUAUCUUAGUUUAGUUUGAAUCAAUAGUGUGAUAUUUAUGUUGUUAAAAUCUGAAAAUUAGAUGGGUUUGAUCAUGAUUUAGAGUACUAGUAGCUUACGUUUUCUAGUAGGGUGGCUGAAAUAACUCUUUGCUUCUGUUACAGCAGGUUUUCAGGUUGUCCUUUCACCUUUUGGACAGCCUUUGAAUAGUGUUUAGCACACAAAGUCAGUCCCUUUUUGGAUAUAUUUUUGGUGAACCAAAAUCUGCCUAAAAAAGUGAUUUUCUUUUCCUACUUAAGGGUUGCCCUUUCCUCACUUUAGAUGGACUCUAACACACCUCUGCUAGACAUUUUUAUACACUAAAAAAUACAAUUUUAGGAGUAAAAAUCAACAGCUGAACUUAAAGAAAGUAAGCUAAAAUUGUGAACUUUAUGAGUGCUUCGUAGAGUGAAAACUCUUUCAAAAAGAAUAAGUCUUUUAGAGUUGAUUCUGGGCAUCUUCUCUACGGUUUUGGGGUUGUUUGAUUACGAAUUUGCUGCUGUUUUUGCUCGUUUUCAUUGCUUUUUUUCUUCUAUUUUACUAUUGUUUUUGCUCGUCUCACUGUUGUAUGUUUAUUUUGCGAACCAGGUAAUUCCUACGUCUUUGUAUUGCAGAUUUUUGAUAGUAAUAAGAAGAUUUGAACUUGCCCGGAUAGCUGAAGCAUGUUUUACUUGAUGUUUGUUUAAGAAUAAGUGUUGUACCUAUGUAUAAAAACAUGUAAAUAUGCAGUAGUUAUUGCUUUGAGAAGAUAACUCUCUACUUAUUGUUAUCUUGUUGUUGAAAGUCCAUUUCCCACCU